AAUGAACGCUGGCGGCAGGCUUAACACAUGCAAGUCGAGCGGGGGAAGGUAGCUUGCUACCGGACCUAGCGGCGGACGGGUGAGUAAUGCUUAGGAAUCUGCCUAUUAGUGGGGGACAACAUCUCGAAAGGGAUGCUAAUACCGCAUACGUCCUACGGGAGAAAGCAGGGGAUCUUCGGACCUUGCGCUAAUAGAUGAGCCUAAGGCGGAUUAGCUAGUUGGUGGGGUAAAGGCCUACCAAGGCGACGAUCUGUAGCGGGUCUGGGAGGAUGAUCCGCCACACUGGGACUGAGACACGGCCCAGACUCCUACGGGAGGCAGCAGUGGGGAAUAUUGGACAAUGGGGGGAACCCUGAUCCAGCCAUGCCGCGUGUGUGAAGAAGGCCUUAUGGUUGUAAAGCACUUUAAGCGAGGAGGAGGCUACUCUAGUUAAUACCUAGGGAUAGUGGACGUUACUCGCAGAAUAAGCACCGGCUAACUCUGUGCCAGCCGCCGCCGUAA
rnacentral:rRNA from 1 species